rnacentral:rRNA from 1 species
GACGAACGCUGGCGGCGUGCUUAACACAUGCAAGUCGAACGGAAAGGCCCUGCUUUUGUGGGGUGCUCGAGUGGCGAACGGGUGAGUAACACGUGAAUGACCUGCCCUUGACUUUGGGAUAACUUCAGGAAACUGGGGCUAAUACCGGAUAGGAGCUCCUGCUGCAUGGUGGGGGUUGGAAAGUUUCGGCGGUUGGGGAUGGACUCGCGGCUUAUCAGCUUGUUGGUGGGGUAGUGGCUUACCAAGGCUUUGACGGGUAGCCGGCCUGAGAGGGUGACCGGCCACAUUGGGACUGAGAUACGGCCCAGACUCCUACGGGAGGCAGCAGUGGGGAAUAUUGCACAAUGGGCGGAAGCCUGAUGCAGCAACGCCGCGUGCGGGAUGACGGCCUUCGGGUUGUAAACCGCUUUCGCCUGUGACGAAGCGUGAGUGACGGUAAUGGGUAAAGAAGCACCGGCUAACUACGUGCCAGCAGCCGCGGUGAUACGUAGGGUGCGAGCGUUGUCCGGAUUUAUUGGGCGUAAAGGGCUCGUAGGUGGUUGAUCGCGUCGGAAGUGUAAUCUUGGGGCUUAACCCUGAGCGUGCUUUCGAUACGGGUUGACUUGAGGAAGGUAGGGGAGAAUGGAAUUCCUGGUGGAGCGGUGGAAUGCGCAGAUAUCAGGAGGAACACCAGUGGCGAAGGCGGUUCUCUGGGCCUUUCCUGACGCUGAGGAGCGAAAGCGUGGGGAGCGAACAGGCUUAGAUACCCUGGUAGUCCACGCUGUAAACGGUGGGUACUAGGUGUGGGGUCCAUUCCACGGGUUCCGUGCCGUAGCUAACGCUUUAAGUACCCCGCCUGGGGAGUACGGCCGCAAGGCUAAAACUCAAAGGAAUUGACGGGGCCCCGCACAAGCGGCGGAGCAUGCGGAUUAAUUCGAUGCAACGCGUAGAACCUUACCUGGGUUUGACAUGGAUCGGGAGUGCUCAGAGAUGGGUGUGCCUCUUUUGGGGUCGGUUCACAGGUGGUGCAUGCCUGUCGUCAGCUCGUGUCGUGAGAUGUUGGGUUAAGUCCCGCAACGAGCGCAACCCUUGUUCACUGUUGCCAGCACGUUAUGGUGGGGACUCAGUGGAGACCGCCGGGGUCAACUCGGAGGAAGGUGGGGAUGACGUCAAGUCAUCAUGCCCCUUAUGUCCAGGGCUUCACGCAUGCUACAAUGGCUGGUACAGAGAGUGGCGAGCCUGUGAGGGUGAGCGAAUCUCGGAAAGCCGGUCUCAGUUCGGAUUGGGGUCUGCAACUCGACCUCAUGAAGUCGGAGUCGCUAGUAAUCGCAGAUCAGCAACGCUGCGGUGAAUACUUUCCCGGGGCU